AUGGUCAUGGUAUAUGUAGAUAUAGUAAUGGGGAGUUUGGCUGGGGCGGCACAUCUGU
rnacentral:rRNA from 1 species